UGCAUGGUGUCGUCAGAUUGUGGGGUGAGAGGUUGGGUUAAGUCCCGCAACGAGCGCAACCCUUGUUCCUAGUUGCUACGUAAGAGCACUCUAGGGAGACUGCCGGUGACAAACCGGAUGAAGGUGGGGAUGACGUCAAGUCCUCAUGGCCCUUAUGGGUAGGGCUUCACACGUCAUACAAUGGUCGGAACAGAGGGUUGCCAAGCCGCGAGGUGGAGCCAAUCCCAGAAAACCGAUCGUAGUCCGGAUCGCAGUCUGCAACUCGACUGCGUGAAGCUGGAAUCGCUAGUAAUCGCGGAUCAGCA
rnacentral:rRNA from 1 species